GACGUAGGAGGCGAGCGUUAUCCGGAUUCACUGGGCGUAAAGCGCAUGUAGGCGGUUGCACAAGUCCGUUGUUAAAGCCCCUGGCUCAACUGGGGGAGGUCAAUGGAGACUGUGCGACUUGAGGCAAUAGAGGCACGUGGAACUCCCGGUGUAGCGGUGGAAUGCGUAGAGAUCGGGAAGAACACCAGUGGCGAAGGCGACGUGCUGGGUUGCACCUGACGCUGGAGAAUGCGAAAGUGUGGGGAGCAAACGGG
rnacentral:rRNA from 1 species